CCUACGGGUGGCUGCAGUGAGGAAUAUUGGUCAAUGGGCGCGAGUCUGAACCAGCCAUGCCGCGUGAAGGAAGACUGCUCUAUGAGUUGUAAACUUCUUUUGUAAGAGGUUAAACUCAGAUACGCGUAUCUGUCUGAAAGUAUCGUACGAAUAAGGAUCGGCUAACUCCGUGCCAGCAGCCGCGGUAAUACGGAGGAUUCAAGCGUUAUCCGGAUUUAUUGGGUUUAAAGGGGGCGUAGGCGGUCGGAUAAGUUAGAGGUGAAAUCCCGAGGCUCAACUUCGGAAUUGCCUUUGAUACUGGUCGGCUUGAGAGUAGUUGAGGUAGGCGGAAUGUAUGGUGGAGCGGUGAAAUGCUUAGAGAUCACACAGAACACCGAUUGCGAAGGCAGCUUACCAAGCUACCUCUGACGUUGAGGCACGAAAGCGUGGGGAGCAAACAGGAUUAGAUACCCCUGUAGUC
rnacentral:rRNA from 1 species